UACGUAGGGUGCAGGCGUUAAUCGGAAUUACUGGGCGUAAAGCGUGCGCAGGCGGUCUAUUAAGACAGGUGUGAAAUCCCCGGGCUUAACCUGGGAACUGCGCUUGUAACUGAUAGGCUUGAGUGUGGCAGAGGGGGGUGGAAUUCCAGGUGUAGCAGUGAAAUGCGUAGAUAUCUGGAGGAACACCGAUGGCGAAGGCAGCCCCCCUGGGCUAACACUGACGCUCAUGCACGAAAGCGUGGGGAGCAAACAGG
rnacentral:rRNA from 1 species